rnacentral:rRNA from 1 species
AAUAGAUACCCAGGUAGUCCACGCCGUAAACGAUGAGUGCUAAGUGUUAGAGGUUUCCGCCCUUUAGUGCUGCAGCUAACGCAUUAAGCACUCCGCCUGGGGAGUACGGCCGCAAGGCUGAAACUCAAAGGAAUUGACGGGGGCCCGCACAAGCGGUGGAGCAUGUGGUUUAAUUCGAAGCAACGCGAAGAACCUUACCAGGUCUUGACAUCCUCUGACACUCCUAGAGAUAGGACUUUCCCCUUCGGGGGACAGAGUGACAGGUGGUGCAUGGUUGUCGUCAGCUCGUGUCGUGAGAUGUUGGGUUAAGUCCCGCAACGAGCGCAACCCUUGAUCUUAGUUGCCAGCAUUCAGUUGGGCACUCUAAGGUGACUGCCGGUGACAAACCGGAGGAAGGUGGGGAUGACGUCAAAUCAUCAUGCCCCUUAUGACCUGGGCUACACACGUGCUACAAUGGAUGGUACAAAGGGCUGCAAGACCGCGAGGUUUAGCCAAUCCCAUAAAACCAUUCUCAGUUCGGAUUGC